rnacentral:rRNA from 1 species
UGGGGAAUUUUGGACAAUGGGCGAAAGCCUGAUCCAGCCAUGCCGCGUGAGUGAAGAAGGCCUUCGGGUUGUAAAGCUCUUUCAGCCGGAAAGAAAUCGCGCAGGCUAAUACUCUGCGUGGAUGACGGUACCGGAAGAAGAAGCACCGGCUAACUACGUGCCAGCAGCCGCGGUAAUACGUAGGGUGCGAGCGUUAAUCGGAAUUACUGGGCGUAAAGCGUGCGCAGGCGGUUAUAUAAGACAGAUGUGAAAUCCCCGGGCUCAACCUGGGAACUGCGUUUGUGACUGUAUGACUAGAGUACGGCAGAGGGAGGUGGAAUUCCGCGUGUAGCAGUGAAAUGCGUAGAUAUGCGGAGGAACACCGAUGGCGAAGGCAGCCUCCUGGGCCAGUACUGACGCUCAUGCACGAAAGCGUGGGGAGCAAACA